UGUGUUGGUCCCUCUUUGUCCGUCUGUCUAGGUGCCAGAUACAUCCCAGUCCCUCCUCUCCUGCAAGCCUCAUUCUCUGCCUCUGUGUCUGGGGGGUGGGAAAGCGGCUCCUUCCCGCCUCUGUUCAGUGGGGCAUGCAGCACUGUGUUUUUGUCCCUGGGCAGGCUGACACAUUGUGGCCUCCAAGCAAAGCACCUAGAGCAGCUCUGCAAGGCUCUUGGAGGAAGCUGCCACCUCGGUCACCUCCACCUCGACCUCAGUGAGAAUGGUUUGUCCCUGGAUGCCGUGUUGGGUUUGGUUCAGUGCUUCUCCACUCUGCAGUGGCUCUUCCGCUUGGACAUCAGCUUUGAAAGCCAACACAUCCUCCUGAGAGGGGACAAGACAAGCAGGGAUAUGUGGGCCACUGGAUCUUUGCCAGACUUCCCAGCUGCAGCCGAGUUCUUAGGGUUCCGUCAGCGCUGCAUCCCCAGGAGCCUCUGCCUCAGUGAGUGUCCUCUGGAGCCCCCAAGCCUCACCCGCCUCUGUGCCACUCUGAAGGACUGCCCGGGACCCCUGGAACUCCAAUUGUCCUGUGAGUUCCUGAGUGACCAGAGCCUGGAGACUCUGCUGGACUGCCUACCUCAACUCCCUCAGCUGAGCCUGCUGCAGCUGAGCCAGACGGGACUGUCCCCGAAAAGCCCCUUCCUGCUGGCCAACACCUUAAGCCUGUGUCCACGGGUUAAAAAGGUGGAUCUCAGGUCCCUGCACCAUGCAACUUUGCACUUCAGAUCCAACCAGGAGGAGGAAGGCAUGUGCUGUGGGUUCACAGGCUGCAGCCUCAGCCAGGAGCACGUAGAGUCAUUCUGCUGGUUGCUGAGCAAGUGUAAAGACCUCAGCCAGGUGGACCUCUCAGCAAACCUGCUGGGCGACAGCGGACUCAGAUGCCUUCUGGAAUGUCUGCCGCAGGUGCCCAUCUCCGGUUUGCUUGAUCUGAGUCACAACAGCGUUUCUCAGGAAAGUGCCCUGUACCUGGUGGAGACACUGCCCUCCUGCCCACGUGUCCGGGAGGCCUCAGUGAACCUGGGCUCUGAGCAGAGCUUCCGGAUUCACUUCUCCAGAGAAGACCAGGCUGGGAAGACACUCAGGCUGAGUGAGUGCAGCUUCCGGCCAGAGCACGUGUCCAGGCUGGCCACCGGCUUGAGCCAGUCCCUGCAGCUGACGGAGCUCACGCUGACCCAGUGCUGCCUGGGCCAGAAGCAGCUGGCCAUCCUCCUGAGCUUGGUGGGGCGACCCGCAGGGCUGUUCAGCCUCAGAUGAGACAGCUGGCUUUUGGGAUCCAGGAUCUGUCACAUCUGGUCUGCAUUUGCACGGGAUGGCGAUGGUCUUCUGACUCUUCUAACCUGCGGCAUCACUGCCCCCACCCCCUCACCACAGCUUUCUGUUUCAUGUCAGUGUCUGUUGACAAAAUCAGCAACUGUGUGUACUGCAGACUGUCCCGCUCCUGACUCUGGUGGCUUUCUCAUGAUGUCAUGGCACGUGUUCCUCUAACCCCGACUUUCCUGGAAACUGGACGUUAGAUCAAAAGGCUCCAUGACAUUCAGUUUCAUGUUUGUGCCCAAAAAACUUACGUCACCGACAGAGCUGUGCACUUCUCAUUGCAGCCUGUGACAAGGCACCUAAGGACUGACUGUUCCCCAAAAUAACCUG
rnacentral:sRNA from 1 species